GGCUCUGCAUCCACACCCUCUUGCCUCGAGAAAGCCUCAGGGACGGAGAGGAGGAGUCAGGGUGUGUGAAUCACGUGGGCUGUUCAAACGCGUUGAAACCCUAAGCGACCCAUUCACGGGACUACACAGUGAGGAGAGUUGUUAUCACUGGGAAGAAAGAGCACAUCACCCCCUGCGGCCUUGCAAACAGAAGCUGAGGUGAUAGACCAACAGGCAGCCACCAGACUUUCUGAACUCUGGCUUUAAGAUGUUUUAAUUACAAGCUUGAGGCACGCAGAUAUUUUUUGGGCAGUCAGAGAAAGAUCCUCCACAAUAUCAUGGAAUCAAAGAAGUACAGCUGGAACUGACCUGAAAGCUCACUUAGUCCACCUUUCUGCACUAAGACAAGGCUAGAAAAACUCAGACUAUGUCCAACAGCUAACCACAAGCCUGAAGAAAAUGGGAACUGUAAGGAGAGAAAACCAAUUCAAGCUAAUUCUGGAAGAGAUCUGAAAGCUGUCAGCAAGAGGAAAACAAUUUGAAGAAAGACAAGUAUUUGCUGUCAAGAGUUGUUAUCCUUUAAGAGGGCUGCUCUCAGAUUCUUGCAAUUUAUUGACAGCUAAAUGAAAUCAGGAAGCCAGAAUACUUAUUUGGCAACUCAGAGAUUUCUCCACUGUUAGAUAUCACCUGUAGACUCAAGCAGCAUUAUGAUGUAUGUUUUCUUGCUUCCAAGCACUAACAUACCUGAGAUUGGUUACAAAAGCCUGAGGAAACUCUUUUUCCUUUAACUUAAAAAUGCAUUCCAAAGUGUAAAACUUUAAGGUGUUGGUUUCCCCCUACUUCUAUUUUUAUUUCCAGCCGAAAAUAAAAGGAAACAGUGCUGUAUGAAAGUCUGAAGUCCUUAGGGAGAAGUGUUCAAAAACAAUCCAUAAACAUAGAAUCAAAAAUAAAUGUAACUUUAAAAUAAACUGAAUGCUUUCC